AGAGUUUGAUCAUGGCUCAGGACGAACGCUGGCGGCGUGCCUAAUACAUGCAAGUCGAGCGGACCCUUCGGGGUUAGCGGCGGACGGGUGAGUAACACGUAGGCAACCUGCCUGUAAGAUUGGGAUAACUACCGGAAACGGUAGCUAAGACCGGAUAGCUGGUUUUCUCGCAUGAGGGGAUCAUGAAACACGGGGCAACC
rnacentral:rRNA from 1 species